rnacentral:rRNA from 1 species
UAAGGAAUAUUGGUCAAUGGACGCAAGUCUGAACCAGCCAUGCCGCGUGAAGGAUGAAGGUCCUCUGGAUUGUAAACUUCUUUUAUCUGGGACGAAAACGGGAUUUUUAUCUCAAUUGACGGUACCAGAGGAAUAAGCACCGGCUAACUCCGUGCCAGCAGCCGCGGUAAUACGGAGGGUGCGAGCGUUAUCCGGAUUUACUGGGUUUAGAGGGUGCGUAGGUGGGCUUAUAAGUCAGUGGUGAAAUCUCCGAGCUUAACUUGGAAACUGCCUUUGAUACUAUAGGUCUUGAAUUAUCUGGAGGUAAGCGGAAUAUGUCAUGUAGCGGUGAAAUGCUUAGAUAUGACAUAGAACACCAAUUGCGAAGGCAGCUUACUACAUAUAAAUUGACGCUGAGGCACGAAAGCGUGGGGAUCAAACA